AAAGUUAGCAAAUUCAGGGGAAGUGCUGUCCGAACUUUGAAGGGAUUUGUUUGCGAUCUAGGACUUGGAUUUGAGCAAGGCAAUGAAGUGUUUCUUGCAUUAUUUCUGAGCCAUGGAGGUAAGUGACCCUAAACUGUUUCCAAAGUUACUUACGAAGUGUUUCUUGCAUUAUUUACUCGACUGCAUAUCAUGCGUGCUUGCAUGUGAGUUCAUGACAUGUUUUGGCUUGAAAUGAGUACUUGGGGAGUCUUGUGCUGAACACCAACGUCUCCUCCGUUUGUUUAUGUUCAUGUUCAUCUGGAGCUCAAAAAGGGGCUCCCUCUUAAUGUUAAUGUUAAUGUUAAAUGAUCUGUUUGAGCGUUGGGUGUUCAAGUACUAUGAUUUCACUGGCUCACGAGAGCAAUAAACGGACAUUUGAUCUCUGAAUCAUGACAUCAUCGAAAUGAUCGAAAUGCAUUAUUGUGAAAUAUAUUUGAUUUCUGAUUUUACUGGUUACUCGCUGAGCUUCUAGCUCACCCCAAAAAUAUUUUAUUCCCCUCCACAGGGCUCAAAGCGAAGGAAGGUCUUGUUGUGCUUAUUCACAUGUCUGGAUGGCCUAUGUUUUGUACAGUUUGGAUUUGGAAAUCAUUUUAUGUAUAGUUGAGAAUUAUUUUCGCUUCGCUUUUGACAUGUAAUUAUUGGAGAAUUUGAUGUAA
rnacentral:lncRNA from 1 species